UCCAAAUGAUGUUUUUUUCUCACGAUGGUCUUCUGAACCCUGAUAGGGUUCUGGUGACACUGCCAAAUGGCUUUACUGAUGGCAACUC